rnacentral:tRNA from 2 species
GGAGGCAUAGCUCAGUUGGUUAGAGUACUUGCUUGACAUGCAAGGGGUCACUGGUUCGAAUCCAGUUGUCUCCACCA